CAAAAAUGGGCAAAGAGACCCUUAGCAAAAGACCCGUUGAUCGACAUAACGGGUCUUUUUAAUAUGAGAGAUCUAAUAUUAUAUAUAACGGGUCUCUUAUGAGUUAAAGGGCCCACUUAAAAUUAGAGGGAAAAAUAAAGAGACCCGUCAUCUGAAUUAAUGGGUCUCUAAUGUAUAAAAAAGGUCCUUUUUUUACGUGAAAAAAAAAUGAAAAACACCAGAGACCCUUGAUUUAACAAAAUGGGUCUCUUAUAUAUCAUAUGACCCACCUCCCAUACAAAUUAAAGUAAAAUAAUAAUUAAAAAAAAAAAAGUAAAAUGCGGAAAGACCCGUCGUUUAAUCCAACGGGUCUCCACUUUCAUUCAUUUGCCCCCCAAACCUUCGCUAAACUGCUAAACCAAAAUUCACCCUAUUGUGUUUGCCUCUUUCUUCUUCCUUAGAUUCAAGAGCUAGGUUUCAGGAAAGACAACCAUUGGCGAACUCAUGGACGAACUCACCACCACCGGCGAAUUGCACUACCACCGGAGAACUACCGUACCAUCGGCGACCUCACCAUCGUUGCUAGCGAACUACAAAUUUAGGUUACUUCAAUAGAAAAGGCUGAAUAUGAGAAAAUCUUAAAAGGCGCUGACAACAGAAGAUAGUACCAAUCUGUCUCGUUCGGCAAAAGGCUACAAUCAUAAGUUUGCUGGUAUUGCUAGUUUCUUGAAUCCAAUCAUCCAUUUUACCUAUCAAGGUGUGAUUUCUUUAACUAGCUUAGGUGAGCAAAAUCUUCUGACCUUCGUUCUCCUCUUUCAUUCUAAUUUACUAUAAUUUUAUUUCAAGAGCGUAGAAUGGCUGACCGGUUUAGAUUGCAUGUUAAGGGAGGUGACAGUGGAAGUGGGAAUGGAAGUUUGUGACGUAGUUGAACUGAUCGGUAUGGCAAGCCUGAUGGUGGGUUUGACUCUAACUUGAUUUCAGAAUGAUUAGUGAUUUCACUUUUAAUGGUGAUCACCUUCUAAUAGGAAUCAUAGUUUUACCGAUAACACAAUCUAUAUUCCCCUUAUUUUACAGGUGAAAAGGCGGUGAUGUGAUUAACAUCGUAUUCUAUGUAUCUGCUAUUGCUGUAUUUUAGGUCAUGGAACAAUUAAUUCAUUCAUUAUAGAUGAUAUCCUUGUGGCUAAUUUGCAGAAUGGACGAUGGGGUGGGCAUGGUACUUCAAAGAAUAAGAUCGGCAGCCGUGGAGAAGACAAGGUUGUGCAAGUUCCUGUUUCUACUGCUAUCUAUUUUGUGGAGAGUGAAAUCCCUUCAAUAGUGGAGAAGUCAUCUUCUGUGAUUCACCCUUG